GCCUACUGGUCGGGGUUCGAACCGGCAACCCUCCGGUUACAAGUCCGAAGAGCUAACCAGUAAGCCACAGCUGCCCCUGAUGAUCCAAUGCUCCACAUAUGAUCCAAUGCUCCACAUAGCCUACCUUAGUCAAACAUACACAGCAGUGGAUUUCAUUCCAGAAUAUAUCAAACUUGUUGCUAGGGCAAUAGGGAUUGUGAUGUCAAGAUGUCAGUAGGCUUCUAAUGGCAUCUAGGAAGGGAUUGGAACUCUGCUGAAACUCAACGGGGUGUUUCAGUCUGUUGGGAGAACCGGUUUCUUUUGAGCGAUGUGUCUGUGUCUCAUUAUUGUAGUGGCAGCAUGGUACUUCAUCUCACAGAGUGCAGGUGCCAGCCCUCUCUCACCACUAAGAAGUGUUGGCACCCAGAGGACGAUGUGAACGAGUGCGUCCGGAAUCCCCGCAUCUGCGGAGACGAGCACGCCAUCUGCACAAACAGACGCAGAGGAUUUCUUUGCGAGUGUCCAGACAGUUUCAUCCCAUUAGUAUAAAUUGGAGAGUCAACGUUACCAUCUGUAAAGACGGUCUCCUUGCUGCUGGAUAUGUUGGGAGACGACGAUAAGCAGCGCUCGGUGAAGCACAGAGACGACGUCCUCCGGCCAGGAAGAAGCUGGUGGCCAAGCUGGUGGAGCGCACCUCCACCCAAAGCUCCAUGAGCUUCACCACCAACAGCACCGAUACAGACUCACUGGUUGAGUUGUGGGAAGAGGUCGUCUGCACCAGCUCCUGCUAAUGUUAUCUACGCUGAUGAGCCAACCGCGGUAGAAGACAACACCACACCCCUUUCCAUCGAAC